CCUCCCAAAUGUUUUUUCCUCACAACCCCCCAGGGAUCCAGUUCGGGCUGCGGAAUUCUUUCAGGCAGUUCAAUCCCUUCUCACGCGGGGGGUGAUUAUUCCGGUACCACUAGAGGAAAGAUUUACGGGUUUCUAUUCAAACCGGACAUUAGGGACAAGGCACCUCCUCCUGGGAUCAUGGCUCACUCUACCAGGGCGGUCGGGGCUUCUUGGGCUCACCUACACCACGCUUCUGCGUCCCAACUGUGUAAGGCGGUGACCUGGUCCUCCUUACACACCUUCACAAAA